UACGUAGGGGGCAAGCGUUGUCCGGAAUCAUUGGGCGUAAAGCGCGUGUAGGCGGCUCGGUAAGUCUGCUGUGAAAGUCCAGGGCUCAACCCUGGGAUGCCGGUGGAUACUGUCGAGCUCGAGUCCGGAAGAGGCGAGUGGAAUUCCUGGUGUAGCGGUGGAAUGCGCAGAUAUCAGGAGGAACACCAACGGCGAAGGCAGCUCGCUGGGACGGUACUGACGCUGAGACGCGAAAGCGUGGGGAGCGAACAGG
rnacentral:rRNA from 1 species